UCACAAAUAUAUUAACGCUUCCUGCCGACCUUGCACUUUGGGGUUUAAUGUGACCCAAUGCAGACCAAAGAGGGGGUGAGGAGGAGUGAUGGAUGGGACUUUCAGAUUCAGAAUGGUGACUAACGUAAUAAAAUACAGCACCGCCACGAGAAGCCAGAGGGCAGUUGAACCAACAACCGAGGGAAAAGGUCUACAGAAUACUCUCGGCUCACAGGGGCUCCUGGAGCCAAAGUGUCACCAAGAAAGAAAUGGAUGCGACUGGGACGAGUCACAGCUUUGAGUGUCUGCUGGAAUCGAGGGGGUGAGGCUGCUGCGGACCCCAGAGGAGCGUCCCUCGGCAUCGCUGCUUCUGGGCUGGUUUGGCUAGAAAUGGACAGAAACCAGACCCCCUGGGUCCCCCACCUCCGCAGAUCCAUUCUCUACGGACUGUAGAGUACAGUCAACUACUGUAGUUGAAAUAAAGUCGUGUGCAAGUAGA